AGCGAACGCUGGCGGUAGGCCUAACACAUGCAAGUCGAACGGCAGCACAGUAAGAGCUUGCUCUUACGGGUGGCGAGUGGCGGACGGGUGAGGAAUUCAUCGGAAUCUACUUUUUCGUGGGGGAUAACGUAGGGAAACUUACGCUAAUACCGCAUACGACCUACGGGUGAAAGCAGGGGAUCUUCGGACCUUGCGCGAUUGAAUGAGCCGAUGUCGGAUUAGCUAGUUGGCGGGGUAAAGGCCCACCAAGGCGACGAUCCGUAGCUGGUCUGAGAGGAUGAUCAGCCACACUGGAACUGAGACACGGUCCAGACUCCUACGGGAGGCAGCAGUGGGGAAUAUUGGACAAUGGGCGCAAGCCUGAUCCAGCCAUACCGCGUGGGUGAAGAAGGCCUUCGGGUUGUAAAGCCCUUUUGUUGGGAAAGAAAAGCAGCAGGUUAAUACCCCGCUGUUCUGACGGUACCCAAAGAAUAAGCACCGGCUAACUUCGUG
rnacentral:rRNA from 1 species